rnacentral:antisense_RNA from 1 species
CUUCAACGAGCCCAGCAGCAGAGGGCGUUCGGCGGUGUGUGCGCUGCCGUAGGUGGCGAUGAGGGCCUGCGCCUC